rnacentral:rRNA from 1 species
AGCUCCAAUAGCGUAUAUUAAAGUUGUUGCGGUUAAAACGCUCGUAGUCGGAUUUCGGGGCGGGCCCGCCGGUCUGCCGAUGGGUAUGCACUGGCGGGCGCGUCCCUCCUUCCGGGGGCUGGCCCUACUCGGAGCGGGGUCGGAAGUCGGAUCGUUUACUUUGAAAAAUCAGAGUGUUUCAAGCAGGCGUCUCCGCUCUUGCAUGGAUUAGCAUGGGAUGAUGAAAUAGGACUUUGGUGCUAUUUUGUUGGUUUCGA